rnacentral:misc_RNA from 1 species
AAGUCGUAACAAGGUUUCCGUAGGUGAACCUGCGGAAGGAUCAUUAACACGUGAUACUCACGUAUUAACACUCACCGAGAACUGUUGUAUUCCCUGUUGUAGAACAUAGGUGGACUGAGAGAGGAAUGGUGUGAGACAUCUCCGGAUGGACUCUUCAUCUCAGACCUACGAUAGUGCGACUAUCAGCCGUUGUCUACAAACAGAAGAUUAAUUACGGCUGCUUAUUAAGCCUGCACCUUGGCUUGCAGUCCGUGGUGACCUAUUUCACCCCUUUUACUAUUUAAUUUCUGAUGUGUAUGUUCGUAAAUGAUACCUGACUUCGGUUGGUUGAGUCGCUUAUGAAUGUCGUAUAUUACUAAUACGAAACAACUCUUAGCAACGGAUAUCUUGGUUCUC